rnacentral:rRNA from 1 species
CGGUGUUUAACUGGCGUGAUGUGGGACGUCCUACCGGUGGGCUUAUCCUCGCGAGGGGCGGCCCAACUAAUAUCCCGUCGCGGUGCUCUUUACUGAGUGUCGAGUCGGGCCGGUACGUUUACUUUGAACAAAUUAGAGUGCUUAAAGCAGGCUAUCCUCGCCUGAAUACUGCGUGCAUGGAAUAAUGGAAUAGGACCUCGGUUCUAUUUUGUUGGUUUUCGGAACCCCGAGGUAAUGAUUAAUAGGGACAGAUGGGGGCAUUCGUAUUGCGACGUUAGAGGUGAAAUUCUUGGAUCGUCGCAAGACGGACAGAAGCGAAAGCAUUUGCCAAAAAUGUUUUCAUUAAUCAAGAACGAAUGUUAGAGGUUCGAAUGCUAUCAGAUACCGCCCUAGUUCUAACCAUAAACGAUGCCAGCUAGCGAUCCGCCGAAGUUCCUCUCGAUGACUCGGCGGGCAGCUUCCGGGAAACCAAAGCUUUUGGGUUCCGGGGGAAGUAUGGUUGCAAAGCUGAAACUUAAAGGAAUUGACGGAAGGGCACCACCAUGAGUGGAGCCUGCGGCUUAAUUUGACUCAACACGGGAAACCUCACCAGGCCCAGACACCGGAAGGAUUGACAGAUUGAUAGCUCUUUCUUGAUUCGGUGGGUGGUGGUGCAUGGCCGUUCUUAGUUGGUGGAGCGAUUUGUCUGGUUAAUUCCGAUAACGAACGAGACUCUAGCCUGCUAAAUAGGCGUACCUUAUGGUAUCGGGAAGGCCCCCGGCUUCGGCCGGUGGGUUUUUACUACCAACGUACAAACAAAUCUUUUUGAGGGACAGGCGG